AUUUGGAUUUCAUUCCCUUUUGAGAAAACCAGGGAACAGUAGUAGUAGUCAAUGAAUAAAGAAUCAUCUACCCUGUGUAAUGUGCAAUGUGCAAUGCUUCUGGGGAUUCAACGAAAAUUGAACAUGCUAAAAGUCCCAACGACAAGCAAUCGCGCAGGAAACAAAAGCACCACAAGCAAGUGCAUGUGCUGUGAUGCAACUAGUGUACUGAAUCGUUUCAACGACUCUUUCCCACUUUGUAAGAUGCCAGCAAAGUUUAUCUGGCCAUGUCCCAUACUACCUGAUUCGACGUACCUUCUAACAACAAUACCAGCAUUAACCCCACUUGGUGAAACCAAUGGCCACCAAACUCUGCGCCUUUGCUUCCUCUUAGCUUUUCUGAUGUUGUUCAGCUCAUG
rnacentral:misc_RNA from 1 species